rnacentral:sRNA from 4 species
UUCGACUAAGGUUCGAUUCGAGCGCAGCGAGAAAGCGUUGCCGCAGGCAACGACCCGAAGGGCGAAGCGCGCAGCGCUGAGUCAUCCUUCCCCCACCACCA